rnacentral:tRNA from 1 species
GGUUUGUGGCUCAGUGGUAGAGUACUUGCCUGACAUGUGUGAGGCACUGGGUUCGAUUUCCAGCACCA